rnacentral:rRNA from 1 species
GACGAACGCUGGCGGCGUGCUUAACACAUGCAAGUCGAACGGAAAGGCCUGCUUUCCCUUGUGGAUUGCGGGUACUCGAGUGGCGAACGGGUGAGUAACACGUGAGUGAUCUGCCCCCAACUUGGGUAUAAGCCUGGGAAACUGGGUCUAAUUCCCGAUAGGACUGCAGGGUGGUGCCUGUGGUGGAAAACGAUUUUCUAGUGGUUGGGGAUGAGCUCGCGGCCUAUGAGCUUGUUGGUGGGGUAAUGGCCUACCAAGGCGGCGACGGGUAGCCGGCCUGAGAGGGUGGACGGCCACAUUGGGACUGAGAUACGGCCCAGACUCCUACGGGAGGCAGCAGUGGGGAAUAGUGCACAAUGGGCGGAAGCCUGAUGCAGCGACGCCGCGUGGGGGAUGACGGCCUUCGGGUUGUAAACUCCUUUCGACCGCGAGGAAGCCACCUGGUUGGAAGGGUGGUGACGGUAGUGGUAGAAGAAGCACCGGCUAACUACGUG